UGUGUAGAGUUUGGGUUUAGGGUUUAAGAUUUAGGGUUUAGAUUUUACGAUUGGGGUUUAUGGUUUAGUGUUUUGGAUUUAGGGUUUAUGGUUUUAGAGUUUAGGUUUUUAGAAUUUAAAAUUUUGCAGAUGGCGCUAAUUAAUGUCGGUGUUGUUUUUUUUCAACUAUUUAAGUUUUUAUUUUUAUUAUUUUUUUAAACUAUUCCUACAUGGCAUUUUGGUUGGUUAUGAAGAGUGUGGUGAAUUUAACCAUUCACCAUAGGGGUGAACCUAAGUAUUGUUCUUGUUUAAAUCCAGUUAUUGAUAGCCCAAUAAAAAAAUUUUGUAGGCCCAAAAUUUAAAUGAUAAGAUUAGAGAUUAAAUGCAACAUUAUUUAUAGGAAUAGGUCCAUUUUUUAAAAAAAUCACACAAGGUUGUGACUUCUAUUUUAAUAUAUAAGAUAUAAAUCUAACAAGAACCCAUUUGAGAACUUUCAGCGUCGAGUCUAAUACUUCAAUAAAGUAGGGUCAAUCUAAGUAAUUUUCUCAUAGAAAAAUAUAAAAUCUAUAAUAUAAUGAGACAGUUGCAUCAUUUUUGAGGCGACACGUCAGCGGUCUGUGGGUCCCACUUUAAAAAAUGUGAAAAAAAUGUCGAGAUUGUGGCUCGAACCCAGGUUAUUGAAAUAUAAACACCACCAUUUAUACCACUGAGCUAAAGGAUUCUUUGUACAUUGGUGGCCGAAACUAAUAUAUAUUUAUGAUAGGAGAGUUUACUCUGUACACGUAUGAUUUCGGUUUAAGUUCUAUAAAAAGCCCAAGUCGGGUGUAAGGCCAUUUGGCCAAUGUUUAGUUAUAUGGCCUAUUUUGAAAAAAAGGUCUGACGUUUUAUGUUUUUGUCGAGAAAAGUGUGCCGUUUUUUAUUCGUUAAACGAGUAAUGAUUAGAUUUUCAGAAGUUUCUUCUUCUUCGACCCUUCAAUCUUACCAACCCUGCUGCUUUUCCUAAUCAUGUGGAAAAACGAGUCUUAAUCAACUCUUUACCUUACAACUUUUUUCAUAUCUAUUAAUUCUUUUUAUUGUAUUCAACGUAUACCUCUUAAAUUUUACAAUAAAUGGUUUUCUUUCAUUAAAGCCAUUUACUAUCUUAAACUCUCCUUCUCCCUUCUGAUACAAUGAAACCAAAAAAUUCACUUCAACCCGUAUAAAUUGGAGAAGGUUGAUAGCUGGAUGGAUCUUCACAGACGCUCUCAGUUUAUCUUCUAUCUUCAAUUGGAGAGGGAGCUGCUCAUCCUCGACGAACAGGUAUGAUUGAUUUUUUCUGCAAUUUCCUUCCUACGAAGCCCAAAGAGAUCUAUCGAGUUACUGAUCUGCGUUAACCAUUUGAUGAAUUCCAUCCCGAAUGAUCCCAAAACAAUCAACGUCUACCUCAAAACACCAGAUGAUGAGUAAACAGCGCCCAAUAGACCUCCACAACCUGAUGUAGAUGAUCGGAGGCCACUGAAGAAGAAGAAGCCUGCAACAAUGUCAGAGGAUGCUAAAGCAUUGAGCAUGAUUAGACAAAUGUUCAAGCACUGCUUCUAACUUUUCUCCUAUGCUCACACCCAUUACAUUUUCAUUAGUUUUUUUCUCCUGCACUUAUGAGUUUUGUAUUGUUUUAAUGUCAGUACUAAUCGUUAUGUUGGACAUGGCUAUGAUAACCGAGACCUGGAAGCCUGCUUUGACGAUAUCAUGAAGGAAGAGAGACGAAGUGCGAGAAUCGCAAGGGAGGAAGAUGAAAUGGAAGCAAAGCUGAUCGCAGAAGAAGAAGAGCGAGAGAGACAGAGAAAGUUGUUGAAGCUGAGGCUAAGAAAGUUAGAAGAAACAAACCUUUUGAUCAUCUUUGUCUUCUUUUUUAAAUAUACGACAAGUUUAAAUCUUUAGUGCUUCUCUCAUUCAAAUCUCUUUGGAGAAUAGUGUGUUCUUGAAACUGUACAAUUAGAUAAUAAUUAUAUUUAUUGGGUCACUCGAGGAAUCUGUUGGUGACCUUCCAAGUUGGUGAAAGCCUGAUUAUUUUCUAUGUGUAAAACCAGAGAAUGAAAAGAGAAAAGAAUAUAUCUUUAUUCACGUUGGAGUUGCUUUAGUUUCAUUUUCUUACAAGUCCAUGAACAUUAUUUUUGUGAUUCUUUUAUAAUCUUUUCCUCUCAAAGAUCUUUGUUUGAGGUAUCAAAUGGUGACCAAAGAAGAAGAUUGUCUUCCUCCUGCGACAAAGCCGUUGAGAUGUUAUUUUCCUUCUUCUACGACUCCUCUUGCGGAGCUAGAGACUAUUCAAAGCUUAGAAAUCGUGGAACCAUCCUUUCUCUCUCCCGCUUGGUAUAUCAUUAUUCUUUACUUACUCUUCAAUUUUGAGCUCUUCC